rnacentral:rRNA from 1 species
UACACACUGCCCGUCACGCCAUGGGAGUUAAUUUUACCUUAAGUAGGUGAGCCAACCGCAAGGAGGCAGCUUACCACGGUAAUGUUGAUGACUGGGGUG